rnacentral:rRNA from 1 species
UACGUAGGGCGCAAGCGUUUGUCCGGAAUUAUUGGGCGUAAAGAGCUCGUAGGCGGCUUGUCGCGUCGAAUGUGAAAACCUGCAGCUCAACUGCAGGCUUGCAUUCGAUACGGGCAGGCUAGAGUUCGGUAGGGGAGAUCGGAAUUCCUGGUGUAGCGGUGAAAUGACGCAGAUAUCAGGAGGAACACCGGUGGCGAAGGCGGAUCUCUGGGCCGAUACUGACGCUGAGGAGCGAAAGCGUGGGGAGCGAACAGG